CCAUUGCCUCACGGGAGCCCGGGGAACGCGGGCUGAGAACGCGCUGCGCCGCGCGGACCGUUAGAACCUGCACGGAUCAUACCGGCGAAGGAAGUCAAGGAGAAUCAUGCUG
rnacentral:ncRNA from 1 species